GUCAGUUUGCCCGCAAAACCUGUCAGCGUUUCUAUUCCUUCGCAUUUUUACUGUGACCUAUGGCGGCUACUGCCUGCCACAUGCCUGCUAGUAUAUCUGGUU